rnacentral:rRNA from 1 species
UACGGAGGGGACUAGCGUUGUUCGGAAUUACUGGGCGUAAAGCGCACGUAGGCGGGUUUGUAAGUCAGGGGUGAAAUCCCGGGGCUCAACCCCGGAACUGCCUUUGAUACUGCGAAUCUCGAGUCCGGAAGAGGUGAGUGGAAUUCCUAGUGUAGAGGUGAAAUUCGUAGAUAUUAGGAAGAACACCAGUGGCGAAGGCGGCUCACUGGUCCGGUACUGACGCUGAGGUGCGAAAGCGUGGGGAGCAAACAGG